rnacentral:sRNA from 1 species
UAGAAUACUACUUAGCUCAGUACUGAUG